AGCGAACGCUGGCGGCAGGCCUAACACAUGCAAGUCGAACGAAGUCUUCGGACUUAGUGGCGGACGGGUGAGUAACACGUGGGAACGUGCCUUUAGGUUCGGAAUAACUCAGGGAAACUUGCGCUAAUACCGAAUGUGCCCUUCGGGGGUAAGAUUUAUCGCCUUUAGAGCGGCCCGCGUCUGAUUAGCUAGUUGGUGAGGUAAAGGCUCACCAAGGCGACGAUCAGUAGCUGGUCUGAGAGGAUGAUCAGCCACAUUGGGACUGAGACACGGCCCAAACUCCUACGGGAGGCAGCAGUGGGGAAUCUUGCGCAAUGGGCGAAAGCCUGACGCAGCCAUGCCGCGUGAAUGAUGAAGGUCUUAGGAUUGUAAAAUUCUUUCACCGGGGACGAUAAUGACGGUACCCGGAGAAGAAGCCCCGGCUAACUUCGUGCCAGCCGCCGCGGUAA
rnacentral:rRNA from 1 species